CCCCAGUCUAAGUAAGGUCACUUAACUCUUUUAUCCUGCUCAUUUUCCGUUUCAUUAAUAUAUUAUACACCUAGAACCUCUUACCCUUCUUGCUAACUGUUACUACUCAUACAUUCAAGGACGACUGGAAGACUUUCUUGUCUAGACAACAUUGCGUUCGAUCAGCUGUCUCCAGCUUGCCAGCACAGUAUGGGGGUUCAAGGACCGGUGGAUGUUCCCUGGAGAGUCUUUACAAAGAACAUUCCUUCUGGAUCAAGACAGGAUGGAGAUAUGAAGGGCAUGGAAAAACUUUAGUGACUGCUAUUGCUCCUGUUUUUCAAUGAAUGAAAAUUUGAAGGACUUCUGAUCUCCCUGACUCUUCCUGAUAAAGCUCUUCUCAGCAACUAGAACGUCUGACUAGCCAGUGAUCCCUGGAUGUAGAAGAUCUGGUGGGAAAACAUUCAUCUCUCUGAUAUUCUUAAUGGAGUUAAUGGUGAUUAUGGGUCUAGAAAUGCUCCACGUGCCUUUUGGAGGUACACAAGAACCACAACACCACAGUUCUUCCACAGUCAGGAUUUUUUUCUUUAUACGAGCGUCCUUUCCACCCUUCUGGCUUGAGUGUAGAUUCUCCUCCUGGCCAUAGAACCCAGUUCUUGCACUCAAAUUCUUGGCACAUACAGUUGUUUUGUCUUAAAAGAAAGAAAAUUGUUUUUUCUGCCACACUGUCUGAAUAGUUUAGCAUGAAGGUGCUGUAGAUUGGGACAUUUGCUCCUACCUUCUGAAAUCUGUGGUUCUCAAGUUGGGAUUUUGUGCCAGAGUCAGAGUCAAAAUUGUUGCAGAAUCAAUAUGGAAAGUUCCAGAUGUGGGAGAUGAAGGACUAAGCGUAUUUUGCCCAAUUUUAUGCACUGCGUAACAACCGUACAGUAGAAACGUUGAGACGUUCUGCAUCUCCGACUCUCCUCUGUUUACUGUGACUUAGGCAGCUGGAGGCAGCGAGUGCACUGCUGCUUGUUAGAGUGAUUUAUGUAGUCUAGAGCACCAGGAAGGUGAACAUCAGGAUAAAUGGACAGAAAGUGCAGACAUGGCAGGUACAAAAAUAUUUAUGCAGAGAUUCGUACUGUAUCGCUGUAUGCAGAGGGUCAAAACCUGGCUGGGUUUUAAGGUUAUAUUGAACAAUUGAAGCAAUAAAUUGACAACUUUCAAAAGAGCUGAGGCUAAACGAUGACCUGAGCUCUUAAAAGUACCAGAAUAGAUAUAGAGCUGAUAUAGAGACGUGUCCCAUUCUCUGUGAGCAUGUUGCGUUAGCAUGAAUCUCAUGUUUACCAUUAAUUUCAAACUAACCAUUUUAGGUCAAAUGAAAUCAAGAGCAUGGAAUUGUUUGAAGAACAACUUAAUGAUUUGAAAUAAAACCUCCACCUUGAAGCCCGUUAAA